rnacentral:rRNA from 1 species
AUGAACACUCUGUGCACUCUGAACAUUCUGAACAAUGAUACUAUGAUCUUGCUUUGUGCUCGUGCUUGCGAUAUGUCAUGUGCAUUGUCUGUGCCUAUUAUUUGCUCACAUGACAUGAUUGCCAUGAUUUCCUCUAGUGUGUUGCAUCUUCGCUCCACUAGUUUGUACAACUUGACUUCUAUGCUUGCUUAUGUUGCAUCACCCAUGAUUCAUAUUUUCCCAUUUCAUGCGGUUGAUGACAACCAUCUACAUGAUUUACACAUGAUUGUUAUUACUCCUUGUCAUAUCUCUCCAUGUGUUGCCUCCCUCAUGCUAGAUAAUUUGCCAUGUAUUGAGUGCAACUAUGCCUUUAGUCUUGAUAAUGAGUUUGCCCCCAUAGCAUUCUCACACAUAUUUGGAGAUUUUGACAUAUCCCUUGUGAAGCAUGCUUGUCUUACCUCUUUGCACCAUAUGUGUAGUGCCAUGAACAUACAGAUUGUUGCAUCAUAUUCUUCAUGCACUUUUGCUACUAAUGGUUAUGUGCAAGAGAAGAGAACCAUCAUGAUGGAUGAUGUGUUUAUCUACCAUGCGCAUACGUUAUUUGUUUUGUUGUGUGCAUGUGUAGGAUACUUGGACUUUGUGUUGACUUCCGCGUCACGUGAGUUGACAAUCCGAGCUCUUGAGAGCGAACCACCUUCUACCACGACGAUUCUACAUCGCACUUGCUUAUGCUUCGGCAUUGUGACAGACGCACAAGGACACGCUUUCAAGGUGAUAUCCUUCUCUUUUGAGAAACCCAAAACCAUGAGCAUGGAUAUUGUGAAUCAUAAUACUCAUGUUGCUUGCACCAUGACAGUUAUUGGCCAUCUUGGACUACUUGGUUGCGCACAUGUUAGAAAUCUUGCUCACAUUUCCAUGCCUCGUGACUUAUAUACCUUGUGUGUUGCAUCCAAUUCUUGGAUUACUUGCUCCUAUCACAUGUUUGGUUGCAACAAUGCCAUCUCUUCACAUAUACCAUGCCCCAUUGCUUGUCACAUGAUUGACUUCAUUGCCUCACACAUGAUGAACAAUUGCUCUUUCUAUUGUGUUGAGUGCCACUCUAUAUUCACUACGCCCCAUGCACGUUAUACUUGA